AAGAGGCAACCCACCUGCAGCGGGCGCGGACGCGAUGAUUCAGGGCCACAAACCCAUAAAGACUGGAAAUACCGCUGCUACGAAACCGAUACCACACAUAUGGACGAUAUUGAAUCAAAGAUCGUUCAUAACGUUAUGCACGAUCUUUGAUUGUGUAGGCCCCUAUAUUCGUUUGUGAUACUGAACCACCUCACGUCCUCAUAACAAAAAUCAUUUAGUCCCCAUUAAUAUCAAGGCACUGUUUUUUCAUAUGGAAAUGACAGAUGAGAGAGAGCUAGCAGUACUUUCUCUUUCAUUUUUAGGCCUACAGUCGGUGAAAUGAUAUCACGUGCUUUAAGUUCUAAGACGCAACAUUUAAAAUUAUUUUCAAAAUUUGGUUUAUUUAAAAGCUGGGGCCUAAACACAUAAUUAUAAUAUUAUGUCGAUAUACCUAUGGGAUCCUUGAUACAAAUGGGAUGAUCAUUAAAUCAGAAAAAGCAACUGUUCACUAAAUGCACAUAGCUAAAUAAUUUUCAUAUAAACACCAUGUUCUGAGAAAUAAUAAACGAUGAAUAGCAAAAAAAAAAACCUUUCGCUUUACAGUUCCUGAAAAGAACUCGAUAGCCAAUGGACUAUAUAGGCUUUCUCAGUGCUGAGAAAGCCUACUUAGUUCUUAGCCUAGGGAUGAUGAGUGCGUGAGUGCAAGCGUGCAAGAUGAUACCGAUACCCAUCAAACACGCCAGCGCUCGCUCCGAUACCAAAGAUUGUUAUAUGAUCAUUGCCGAUACCCGUGCGCGAUACCAGUGACCAAACAAACAAUUCUGCAACACGGUAGCAAGAAGUAAGAAGACUGCAAGGCGGGAUUCAAAACAUUACAAGCAGUGAACGAGAUUUUUUACGUGAUUUAUUUCUGUUUAUGUCCCUGCAGUGAUCAGGCAUCAGCGGAAACAUGGAUUUAUUUGUUGUUAUAGGCUUGAUUUUAGUUCAAGUAGCGUCUUAUUCAACACUUUAUGGAUUGGUGAAAUUCAGUUUGAUUGGCUCCAAGGGCUUCUUGAUUGGCAGCUAUGUUUCGGUCAUUGCUGUCCCUUUCUUGACGUACUUGUUGUUCCGAAGAGGUUUUAGGAAUGUCGACCCAUUGAUGUACGUUUUCAGCAUCUUCAGUUGGGCAGGUCUCCUUAACCUUGGAAUUGUUCUUGAACUAGAUGGCUUUAUUCCCAAGGCAUUGGCUCCAUUUACAUUGGAGUAUUUGCCUUUCCUAAAGACGGCCCAUGGUGCAGUGUACCUGUACUGGGAUGGAGUUGUCAACUUUCUACUCGGAAUAGGGUGCAUUGCCCUGUACACUUACCGAGAGACUCACAGAGAGGUCGGCUUGUACUGGGCUGGGUCUGUCCUCAAUGGCUAUGCAGUACUGCUUCCUGCUUAUUUCACAGCAGGAAAAGAUGAGAUCGGGUGGACGUUGUUUGCCGACUCUACCUUCUGUGUUAUCCCCCUUUUGGCUCUCAUCAAUAUGAUUCAUAAUCGCACUAUUCAGGCUCGCACUUUUAUUAAGUUUCCUCCUCUGUGGAAGAGACCUGUUGAUUUGAUCUUCUUCCUGUAUUUCUUCGUUGCUAUGCAAAUUGCAGUGAUACGGGCUCUUGCUAUUCAUGGUGCUAAUGUGCCGAUCAUCAAGCAGUAUGUGAAGUCUGCUGAGCCUUAUCUCGCUGAUCCCAGCGGAGCUCCUAAAUUCCAGAUGCUGACGUACGAUUACCUCUAUGUGUGCUACUACAUUUUCGCUAUGUACGGUCUCUGGAGUCCUGGACAGCACUGGAUGGGAGAUUUCUCCCUUGUACAUGCUGGAGCAGCGGGACAGGCCCAAUUCACCUACAUGGCCGGAGCUCUCAACUCUCGUACUUCCAAGAGCCUGCGACCUCCUAGUGGUGGAAAGGGAGCCAUUAUAUUCUGGGCGGUCAACGGAAUCUUGUUCGUCAUGCCCCAUCUGUUUGCCCUCUUCACGCAGCGCGAUACUGAGAAGUUUGGAAGGACACAGACCAUUGACUUUGCCAGCCCAGUGAGAAAGUAUGUGUACAAGUUCAAGGAGACUCGCUAUGAGAGGAAGGUGGAAUAGAUCUCACUUUGCUUGUGGCUCUGCUGCUGACUGAUUUAGUGCAAAGAUUUAUACUCAAAUUCGUUGCUUCAACUACUAUUUUGUUUUUGAGUUUAUUUUAGUACUUAAAGUCCACUUGUUGGCAGUCUUUAUAGAAAAAAGCUGUACUACUUUAACUUAUCUGAUUUUGUUCCAGUUGAAUUUGGUCACUUUCAGUUGGGUACCAGAGUGUUUUACUAGUAAUAGUUCUAGUAUCUAAGUUCUUUUCUGGAUAAAAAGGACCGUAGACCAUAGACCAUAUUUUUACCACUGGUUUAUUUCAAGAUUUAGCUAGAUAAUGCUAAGAUGUUCUUGAUCCCAUCAAGUAUAUUUUUUGUGAAGUCUGGAGAAAUAUUUCGUCUAUUAAAUUCACCCCUGUGUGUCUGUGAGUGAACGGUUAUUUUCUGCUCCAUUUUAAAGCAAUAGGCUCUUGUGCAAUGGUCACUGGUAUUUUUUAAAAGUUCAGUGUGCCUACAAUCGUUGAAUGUGCAAUGAACGUUGGAUUGUUGACAGGUGUAACUAUAGGUAGUCUGUGGUAACAAAACAGAGAUCUUGCCUUUGACUGUGCUACUUUUCAGCAUUGCCAAUUACUCCAGUCUGAUGAUCUUCCUAUCUCAGCCUGUCUUAUUUUCUGAUAGAAUGUGAGAGAUGCUAGAUUCGUUAUCCUUGAUGCUUGAGACUGUUGUGUCCUGUCCGUAUUUGGUACUAUUUGUUGUCAUGUAACUGUAAAAAGUGAAAUUUCUUCAUGUUAUUCUCUAUAAACUUCUUGCACCUUAAGGCAGCAAACUGAAGCAAGUGCUAUAUCUAUCCUUGCAUACUCUCAUUUUAUUGUCACUGUUGAUGUCAAACUCUAAAAGUUUGUUACGAAUCUCUGAAAGAUUUGCAAUUCACCUUCUACUUUCACAAAUGUACAUUUUUUUCUAACUUGUAAAUUUUUACUCUGUUUCGUUACUAUACACUUUGGGGGUGUGGUUUUUUUUUCGCAUAGUGCAUUAUGAAAUUUAUGUUAUUGCUGGCUUCAUUGGGUUAAGAAAUCUAAGUUAUCAUUGUGUAGAAAUCUGAAUGUUCUGCAACAUAUGAAGUGGAGUCCUUUAGCCCCUUUGUUUGCUCCUGCUUGCCUAUAUGACAUUACACGUACAUCAUGCUAAAAGCCUGGCGCUAAUAAUAUUCUUCUGUACAGAGUUUAAGCCAUAAAUGCUGCGUGGAUUUGUAUUCGGAAAUAAAAGAUGCGCAUAUCGGUUCUAAAUUUGCUUGUAUUUCUUUACUGCUAGGCUUGCAAGCGAUCGAUAAACACAGUUGUAGGCUUGGGGGCGUAAAAUGUAAACAUCGAAAUGACUUUAAAAAGUCAAUUAAAUUCACUUUUUGACUUAGAUUUGCAGGUUAUUCGAAAUUAUCAAAGAGAUGGGAGGAAAAGGGGAAUAAGAAAAGUGGGAAAAGUGACAACUGAAGACCUGGUCUCCGCUGAAAAAUCAGUGCUGACAGUAGGAACGCAUACCUCCUGGCAACGAAAGGGUUAAUUGCUCCUUUUGAAAAAUCUCCUAUGGGCACUUGUCAAGACAUUUAAACAAGCUAAUAACUCACAUAUCUUAAUAUUUUUUUCGUUAGCAUUGUUAAAAAUUUGAGUUUGAAUUUUACACCUUACAUCUAUUUUCUCUUACAAACGGCUUUUGCAAUAGUCAUCGCUGUUUUUUUGGGGGGGGGGGGGGGGGGGGGGGGGGGUUGUCAUUGAGAGAACUUAUUUUCUGCCAUGACAAAGAACCUGGUUCUGUUCCCAAUACCGGGCAUUAGGAUUGGUGUUAACGAGAUUUUUUUCAUGUUGUUGAUCAUAGGGUAGGUGCAAAGAGGUUAUUCAUAAUCUUAAAGUUAAAGCUCACAGCAGUGAUGUCACAUGUGUCAGAUAUGGGGGCCUUCUUACCCUCAUCAGCAUGCCCCCAUUUACAUGAACAAUCUGACACACCCCCCGCGCUCCCUACGACGAGCUCUAGCACGCAACCCCCGUUUGUUUACAUGGGGGAGAUCACUGCCAUAAACUCGUACUAAAUAUAACAUCUUUGGGUAGGUGGCAUUGAGUGUCAAGCUUUCUUUGAUAAUAUUGAAUGACUAGCUUGAUGACCACAGGCCCGCUUCAUCUUUUCUCGUCCCACCAUCCCAUGUGUUCAAAUGCAUUUACCUUUACUUGGUUUUAGUGUUCAUUAGUAUUGCCAUGUGCAUACUUUUUUUUAUUGAUGUGUGUACAUGUAGGCUACUGAUUUUACUUUGUUUUGUGAUUUAUUAUUUAAUUAUAGUCUUACAAUUUUAGUGACGAUUCAAUAAAAUUACAUCAUCUGACAUCUCCUCUUUUACAAAGACACAGACUAAUGAGUACAGGUAUAGCUUUAAAAAAAAUACAAAAUCACUUUCAUUGAGAUCAUCUGAAAGUCGGUCUUGGAUUUGUGGUUCAAAGAAUACAAAAUCACUUUCAUCGUAUGACAUAGUGAACUUGUUCUGCCUUCUUAGAGGUUUAUUCGUAUUUGUAAAAAAAAAUAAAAAAUUCUGAACUCAGAUUCUUCCCAUGCAAUUCCUGCUCAUUCAUGUUUUUUUGUGAAUAUGGGUAGAUGGUAGUUUAGAUGUCUUGCUGUAUUUGCGAAGUAUUUUUUAAAUUUGCGUACACUGUUUUUUAAAACUUUUAUUUUUGUAUUGUUGUCGGUUUGAAAUUUAUUUAUUUUGAUUUUUUCGGCUAGAACUAGAUAUUUUUUAUACUUAGUGCAUGCUACUGUAGACUCAGUUGUCACAAUAAAUAUCAUGAGACAUCAAA
rnacentral:misc_RNA from 1 species